CUCAGCUAAGCUGUUCCUCACAGGCCCAGGCGGAGUCAGCAGGGAGGCAGCCGGCCAUGGGCGCCUGCUCAGAAGACCCCCACCUGUGUGAGGCCUCUGGGCUCCUGCGAUUCACCAGCCUCCUCCUCAGUGUCUGCAGCGCUGUGACCCAGAGUCCUGGAGCCCGUGGGUCUGCAGUGGAUGAUUCUGGAAACCCUGUUCCUCUGAAGGGGAUUCAAGGAGCUUCUGUGCUAUUUCCAGUGAUCAGAAAACCAGAAUUACCUCCAGAAGUCAAGCUGGAGAGUAUUACAUGGGGCAUUAUAAAUAAAAAAAUCUACACACCCAUACUCCAAGUUAGUCCCGGGGGAGAUGUUCCAGAAUGGGUCAACUGCCAGGACAAGUUCGAGAAGAGGGUCCAUGUGCUCAACACAAUGACUCUGAGGAUUGACAACCUGACCCUUGAGGACAGUGGGCGGUACCGGGCUCAAGAGUCCUAUUCGAGAGGAAGACAGUAUCACCAGGAUUUCCACCUGACGGUCUACGAGGCUGUGCCCCCUCCCCAGAUCCAGGCCAUGGCUGUGUCCCUCACACCAGGCUGGUGCAACGUCACAGUGGAGUGUAACACCACAGGAACCAGGGAGGACCUGACCGUGUCCUGGGAGAGUGAGAGCCUCCCCAGGGAGCUGGAGCAGAGACCGGCCCCAGGACCAGCCCCCAACCCCUGGACCCUGGCUGUGAACCUGCCCCUGAGCCGGCCCAGCCUCAACCUCACCUGUGUGGUGAGCAACCAGGCGGACAAGAAAGCUGCCUCCUGGAACGUUGGGGACGUCUGUGGCCGUGGACUCUGGCAGGAACAUCCAACCUGCGUCUGCUGUUCAGUGUUGUUCCCAGGCUGCUCAUCGGAGGGGUCUGGCCAACAACUCACUGUAGGAUUCAGGGCUCGGGGUCCUCUGCCCGAUUCUGGUCUCACAGACACACGUCACACCCACCCGCUUGCCUGCAUUCCCGAUGUGUCCCGCUCUCCUCGGCUGCCAGCCUCCGCUCAGGCCCCUCCCUCUGCCCUCAGCCCUUCCAAGUCAG
rnacentral:lncRNA from 1 species